CCUACGGGCGGCUGCAGUGGGGAAUAUUGGGCAAUGGAGGCAACUCUUACCCAGCGAUGCCGCGUGAAUGAAGAAGGUCUUCGGAUUGUAAAGUUCUUUAAUUGGGGACGAAAGAAAUGACGGUACCCAAGGAAGAAGCCCCGGCUAACUACGUGCCAGCAGCCGCGGUAAUACGUAGGGGGCAAGCGUUGUUCGGAAUGACUGGGCGUAAAGGGUGUGUAGGCGGUGUAGCAAGUUAGAAGUGAAAUGCCUAGGGCCUAACUCAGGUGCUGCUUUGAAAACUGGUUUACUUGAGUGCAGGAGAGGAAAGUGGAAUUCCUAGUGUAGCGGUGGAAUGCGUAGAUAUUAGGAGGAACAUCAGUGGCGAAGGCGACUUUCUGGACUGUAACUGACGUUGAGGCACGAAAGUGUGGGGAGCAAACAGGAUUAGAUACCCUGGUAGUC
rnacentral:rRNA from 1 species